rnacentral:misc_RNA from 1 species
GGGUCCACACGGCUCCUCUCUACCUGUUUUCUGGCAGGGCAGCCCUUUGAACUGCUACACCUGUAGUAUCCUCUGGGGUAAGGGGAGCCCUUGAUGGGUUUCUGGCCAUACUUUCUCCAAGCCCAAGAAUCAGAUGGUGGCGGGGCAGUCUCACCUUUGAGCCGUGACCCUUCUACGUCCUUGAUUGGCACCGAGAUUACUCUCUUUUGAAUCGCCCGUUUGCAUCUUUUCAGGGAGGAAGUAGAAGUCUUCAUGUCGUUGAGCAAGUUAAAAGGAGGUGAGUCAGGACCACUUUCUGUAUUGUCGUUCUC